rnacentral:rRNA from 1 species
UACGUAGGGUGCGAGCGUUAAUCGGAAUUACUGGGCGUAAAGCGUGCGCAGGCGGUUUUGUAAGCCAGAUGUGAAAUCCCCGGGCUCAACCUGGGAAUGGCAUUUGGGACUGCAAGGCUGGAGUUUGGCAGAGGAGACUGGAAUUCCUGGUGUAGCAGUGAAAUGCGUAGAUAUCAGGAGGAACACCAAUGGCGAAGGCAGCUCGCUGGGACGUGACUGACGCUGAGACGCGAAAGCGUGGGGAGCAAACAGG